rnacentral:rRNA from 1 species
AUUGAACGCUGGCGGCAUGCCUUACACAUGCAAGUCGAACGGUAACGGGCCUUCGGGUGCCGACGAGUGGCGAACGGGUGAGUAAUGUACCGGAACGUACCUUUCAGUGGGGGAUAACGUAGCGAAAGUUACGCUAAUACCGCAUAUUCUGUGAGCAGGAAAGCAGGGGAUCGCAAGACCUUGCGCUGAUUGAGCGGCCGAUAUCAGAUUAGCUAGUUGGUGAGGGAAAGGCUCACCAAGGCGACGAUCUGUGGCGGGUCUGAGAGGAUGAUCCGCCAGCCUGGAACUGAGACACGGUCCAGACUCCUACGGGAGGAAGCGGUGGGGAAUUUUGGACAAUGGGGGCAACCCUGAUCCAGCCAUGCCGCGUGAGUGAAGAAGGCCUUCGGGUUGUAAAGCUCUUUCGGCCGGGAAGAAAUCGUAUGGGUUAAUACCCUGUGCGGAUGACGGUACCGGCAUAAGAAGCACCGGCUAACUACGUGCCAGCCGCCGCAGUAACAC